rnacentral:rRNA from 1 species
GUUCCCUACGGGAGGCAGCAGUGGGGGAUAUUGAACAAUGGGGGGAACCCUGGUGCAGCGACGCCGCGUGGGUGAAGAAGCGCCUCGGCGCGUAAAGCCCUGUCAGCAGGGAAGAAAAUGACGGUACCUGAAGAAGAAGCCCCGGCUAACUACGUGCCAGCAGCCGCGGUAAUACGUAGGGGGCAAGCGUUAUCCGGAUUUACUGGGUGUAAAGGGGGCGCAGACGGCGAUGCAAGCCAGGAGUGAAAGCCCGCGGCCCAACCCCGGGACUGCUCUUGGAACUGCGCGGC